GUGGGGAAUAUUGCACAAUGGGGGAAACCCUGAUGCAGCGACGCCGCGUGAGCGAAGAAGUAUUUCGGUAUGUAAAGCUCUAUCAGCAGGGAAGAAAAUGACGGUACCUGACUAAGAAGCCCCGGCUAACUACGUGCCAGCAGCCGCGGUAAUACGUAGGGGGCAAGCGUUAUCCGGAUUUACUGGGUGUAAAGGGAGCGUAGACGGUCUGGCAAGUCUGGUGUGAAAGGCUGGGGCUCAACCCCGGGACUGCAUUGGAAACUGUCAGACUUGAGUGCCGGAGAGGUAAGCGGAAUUCCUGGUGUAGCGGUGAAAUGCGUAGAUAUCAGGAGGAACACCAGUGGCGAAGGCGGCUUACUGGACGGUAACUGACGUUGAGGCUCGAAGGCGUGGGGAGCAAACAGG
rnacentral:rRNA from 1 species